GUUUAACGGCCGGUCAGGAACCCAACAAUUAGUCCCUUCUCGUCCGAGAGGAAACUCUGUGAGAAGAUGGGACCGUGAGCACUCUCUUUAACAAGGACAUUUCCUUUUCAGCGAAAGCAGCGCUCUGAUUUACCAAGUCUGGCGGACCGCAGCGCUUUAAAGGAAUGAGGUUCCAGCGGUCGCGCCAAGCAGCGUACGCAGCCUAUUUUAAGUUAUGCUACCUUCGCCACAGAAACCAAGAACGUUGUAAUGGUCCGGCAAGUGCCCACGUAUAAUUGUUCUCCAUCACUUACCCACUCUAGUUCGGGAACACCCUUGUCGCCGCCGUUCCGGUAACACCUCUCCAACGCUUUCGAUGCUUCUACUUCUUCGGGAACAAGACAAGAUGGCGCCCGAUUUGUCUCACCCGGAAGUAAAGAAUAAUAACAUCCGUUUGUCAUCUGAAGCCAUACCAUCUCUCAUCCAGGUUUGUGAACACGUGAUUGUGCGGAUUGACAUGUUUCGGCGCCAUUUUUUUUGUGGGCAAAACCAUCUCUACUCUGGUCAACACCGGGCAACUGAACCAUUCCUGCACGUUACUUUUUAACGUAGCUGGCGCCAUUCCCGACCCAUCUUUAUAGUGGCCAGAAAGCCAAGAACGUAAGUGUUCUACACAUAGGGCGCCUUCAAAUUUUUUACUUUAGCAACGUGAUCUUCCUUUAAGGGGAAGUAUGUUCCCUCCUAGAAACACUCCCGCCUUGGAGAAGGGGUUGAGUUCGCAACUCCACUUACAGACUACGGAGGAACCCCAGGGUCAAACCAAACCAAACCAAUUCUGGCCAGUUGCUUAGCGCAGUUCAAGUUACUUAGUGCGCUGGAAGCGGCAUUUCAGGCAAUCCAACUUCUGGCUCGAACCUUCUCGGAGUAUUCCAAGGAUGGAAUACUCUCACUUGAGCGCUGCCGAGGGUGCCGCUUGAGGAAAACGUGAGUUUGUGAAGAAUGUUUGUUGCAGAUACAGUUCCACCACUGUACAUUAAGUAUGUGGAAAACAGAAGAUAUCCUUUUGGUUCCUGGGUCUCCAGAACAGUAGGAGCAAACAUCCAAAUCUGAUAUAGCACUUCCAGAGAGCCUGGUCUUGGAGGAUAAAACUUUACCUUGAUGGGACUUUUGGCCCCGGUCCCUUAAGAGUUGGGAUUUGGGGUUGUACUGCAGCACAACUCAGCCUAUCCUAAUACAUAUGGGAAUGCAAACAUCUCAGAUAUUUCUUCUUGGGUGCAAUUUAAAAUACGUAUGAAAUGGCUUCAGAAGUGUCCAUGAACCUUCAAAAUUACAUACAAGAAUUAGGGAGAUACAUUUUUCUGGGAACAUACAGAUGUUAAGACUUCCCUUCUCCGUCUCUAUAUUGCCAGAAGAGAGGGCCCCAGAAUUAAAACCCCAUCCUUCCUACAACACUCAGCUUUCUCUUUCAGGAAUAUCAGUACUAAUAUCACCAUGCCUUUUAUCUCUAGGAUAUCUUCAUCCCCUGUACCUUAAUUUCUGCAUGACUUCAUAGGGAGUCCAUAUUGCUUGAUUUUUCUCCAUAUCAUUACCAUUGACAUAAAUUUUCCUUACAUUCUUAGAAUGUGUAUUUCCUCACCUUUUAGAUUUCUGGCUCUUAUG
rnacentral:lncRNA from 1 species